UGGGGAAUUUUGGACAAUGGGCGAAAGCCUGAUCCAGCAAUGCCGCGUGUGUGAAGAAGGCCUUCGGGUUGUAAAGCACUUUUGUCCGGAAAGAAAUCCUUGGCUCUAAUACAGUCGGGGGAUGACGGUACCGGAAGAAUAAGCACCGGCUAACUACGUGCCAGCAGCCGCGGUAAUACGUAGGGUGCAAGCGUUAAUCGGAAUUACUGGGCGUAAAGCGUGCGCAGGCGGUUCGCUAAGACCGAUGCGAAAUCCCCGGGCUCAACCUGGGAACUGCAUUGGUGACUGGCAGGCUAGAGUAUGGCAGAGGGGGGUAGAAUUCCACGUGUAGCAGUGAAAUGCGUAGAGAUGUGGAGGAAUACCGAUGGCGAAGGCAGCCCCCUGGGCCAAUACUGACGCUCAUGCACGAAAGCGUGGGGGAGCAAACAGGAUUAGAUACCCUGGUAGUCCACGCCCUAAACGAUGUCAACUAGUUGUUGGGAUUCAUUUCCUUAGUAACGUAGCUAACGCGUGAAGUUGACCGCCUGGGGAGUACGGUCGCAAGAUUAAAACUUAAAUGAAUUGACGGGGUC
rnacentral:rRNA from 1 species